rnacentral:lncRNA from 1 species
UAAUUCUGUACUAUUCCACUAGAGGGAGCCAAAAGACUGCUUUAGAAUGUUUCACUGGCUUUCCUUCCUAAGACUAUUAAUGAUAUCCUGCUAUGUUUGCAGACAGGAGCCUAGUAUAACUGUCUCCUGAGAGGCUUCAUCCAGCAGCUGAUGGAAAGAUCCAGAGAGCCACAGCCAAACACUAGACCGAGCUUGGGGAAUCUUGUGGAAGAGUUGGGGAUGGGACUGAGGAAGCCAGAGAGGACACCACAAGAAGACCUACAGAGUCAACUAACUUGAGCCCAUUGGGGCUCACAGAAACUGAACCUCCAACCAAAGAGCAUGAAGGAGCUGGACCUAGGCCCCAUACACUUUUGUAACGGAUAUGCAGCUUGGUUUUCAUGUGGGCCCCUAACAGUUGGAGCUGGCUGCCUUUGGAUUCCUUUUCCCUAACUGGAUGGCCUUGUUGGAUUUCAGUGGAAGAGGUUUCUGCUUGGUUCAGCUUUGACUUGAUCCGUCCGGGUUGGGAGAAGGUGCAGACAGUGCAUAGGCUCUGUGCAGCUGAACACAGCUGAAAUUGAAAUGGCAACCUGCUUUAGAAGGAUGAUCCUGGACUGAGAGAUCUCUAAGGUGAUAUUAUGAAAAGGGCUGGGAAAA